AAGUGGAGCUUGCUCCACGGAUUAGUGGCGAACGGGUGAGGAACACGUGAGAAACCUGCCUCGGAUUUUGGGAUAACAAAUGGAAACGUUUGCUAAUACCAAAUAACGUCGGAGAGUCACAUGACUUUCUGACGAAAGGAAUUCCGAUUCGAGAGGGUCUCGCGGCCUAUCAGCUUGUUGGCGGGGUAAUGGCCCACCAAGGCAACGACGGGUAGCUGGUCUGAGAGGAUGGUCAGCCACACUGGGACUGAGACACGGCCCAGACUCCUACGGGAGGCAGCAGUGGGGAAUCUUGCGCAAUGGGCGAAAGCCUGACGCAGCAACGCCGCGUGCGGGAAGAAGGCUUUCGGGCUGUAAACCGCUUUCAGCAGGAACGAAAAUGACGGUACCUGCAGAAGAAGGGGCGGCCAACUAUGUGCCAGCAGCCGCGGUGAUACAUAGGCUUCAAGCGUUGUCCGGAUUUAUUGGGCGUAAAGAGUUCGUAAGCGGUCGAGUAAGUCGGGUGUGAAAAUUCUGGGCUCAACCCAGAGACGCCACCCGAUACUGCUUAACUUGAGUUCGAUAGGGGAGUGGGGAAUUCCUAGUGUAGCGGUGAAAUGCGCAGAUAUUAGGAGGAACACCGGUGGCGAAGGCGCCACUCUGGAUCGACACUGACGCUGAGGAACGAAAGCAUGGGUAGCAAACAGGAUUAGAUACCCUGGUAGUCCAUGCGGUAAACGGUGGGCACUAGGUGUGGGUUUCUAU
rnacentral:rRNA from 1 species